GACGGAGGGUGCAAACGUUGUUCGGAAUCACUGGGCAUAAAGCGCACGUAGGCGGUUCGUUAAGUCAGGUGUGAAAGCCCUCGGCUCAACCGAGGAACCGCACCUGAUACUGGCGAGCUCGAGAGCGGUAGGGGUGAGUGGAACUCCAGGUGAAGCGGUGAAAUGCGUAGAUAUCUGGAGGAACACCGGUGGCGAAAGCGGCUCACUGGACCGUCUCUGACGCUGAGGUGCGAAAGCUAGGGUAGCAAACGGG
rnacentral:rRNA from 1 species